AUGGCAUGGCACUGGCGAUCUCUCCCGCCGCCACCCUACCUGCCCCCGACCCGCUGGGACGACGACUCUUUCGAAGACGACGACGACGACGACUCUGACUUGGACGAUGACAGGCAAGCCAUGGUAGACGACGGGUCCAAGUCCAGUAUGGUGGUGGACGGCGAGCUGGGCGACAUAGCGGGGCACACGGUCGUGGGCGAUUCGAAGAUCUGGAUAUCCACGGCCGGCGCCGGCACCUACACCUUCGACGCGGGCAGCGGCGCGUGGGCGCCCCGGCCGUUGUACUGGCCGCUGCCGUUCCGCGGCCGCGCCGAGUUCGUCCCGGAGCACGGCCUCUGGUUCGGCUUCUCGUCACUGAACAACAAGCUGUGCGCGUCCGACCUCGCCGCCGCUUCCGAGACGAGGCCGCCCGUGCUGAGGGGUGAGUGGGAGGACGUCGCGCAGGGCGAGGGGUGGAACCCGGUGGCGUCCUACCUCGUGCCGCUGGGCUCGUGGAGGUUCUUGGUCGCCAAGUUCUUCGAGACGAGAGAGUGGCAGCAGUUCAAAGAUGGCGGCGGGGAUUAUGGAAAGUGCGACAACUUUGCGGUGUUUGCCGGCGUGGAGCUGCUGCCCAAGGCCGGCGGAGGGCUGAGCAUGAUCAAGCACCGCUCCAAACGUUACUCCCACGUCUGCACCGCGCCGGAUUGGGUGAUUUGA
rnacentral:rRNA from 1 species